ACUUUACUUCGAAACAGGUCAACGAUUUGAAAAAAAGUCAACAAAAAUCGAUAAAAAUUCCCGACGUUAUCUAUCAGCCUUGGGAAAGUCAAGCCAAUGGAUCAGGAGCAACACGAUGAACAUCACUUGUCUGAUAUACAAAAUUGACUUAUCUGAUUCAUCACGGUUCGACGGUAUAGAAAAUGAACCCUCAAUGAGAAAUCAUAAUAAUUGUUGUGACGAAUGCAGAGAUACAUAAGAAACUGAAGAAAGAUUGUCCAGACAAAUAUACGCUAUUGAAGCUCUACUACAAGAGGGGAAUGCAGGAUGAGGUUAUAGCGCAAGACAUCUGUUACCUCCAUUGCUUCUAAUGACGCUGAAACAGUUCUUGCAGUGCGAAAAUCAGUUGGAAGUGAAUACCAACAUGAGAAAACAAUUUAUAAACUCGGUGAUAAAACAGUUACCAGGUGACGUCUGCCGAAUUAGAAGAAGCCAUCGAAGAAUGGUUCCAUCGCUCAGAUGACAG